rnacentral:tRNA from 2 species
UGGGAGAUCGUCUAAUGGUAGGACAACAGUCUCUGACACUGUUUAUCUAGGUUCGAGCCCUAGUCUCCCAACCA